rnacentral:lncRNA from 1 species
GAAUAGAGCAUAGAUCUGCAACAGUCUAAGAAAAUAAGAAAAAGAAAACCUCGAAUCAAGCUUUUUAGGGUUUCUCAGAAAUCGUAGAGAUGAGAAGGCCUGGAAUGGUCUGGUCUCUGAAUGAAUCUGGACCAUGGCUAAGCCUUUAGAGCUCGAACACACCGGAACGGGGCCGGAGAAACCAAAGGAGCUCAGGUCGGCGGAGGACCUGAACAUGUCUGUUGAAGGUUUGGCCUUGAAAGCUCAAAUAAUCAUGGCUUGGGUUGAAAAUGGAGAGAGUAUAGGCUGUCCAUGGCCUGAGAAGCCAUGGAUUCCGGUGGAUUUUUGAUCGGAGACGAAGGUAGGCGGCUAGGGUUUAGAGAGCGUUUGAGAGAAAAAGGGAUUUGGGGGAAGC